AAAUGUGCCCUAAAACCAAUCAUAUGAUGAUACUUUACGGACAUUUCACAUGUUAAACUAAUCUAGUUUAAUAUGAAGAGCAAAGAUUAUUGUUUGAGCCGUCUCAUAUAAAUGUUAUAUGCUUAAACGAUAAGUCCAAGGAAUAUGUGAUUGGGAGAAUGCGAUCUAAAGAAGUUAGAUUCAUGAGACCAUUCUUUCAUAGACACAUCCUAAACGUUCCUGAUCAUAGGAUUGCCAAUUGGGCAUUGACAGUCCGUUAAGAUCAGUACGUG
rnacentral:lncRNA from 1 species